AAAAGGUCAGUUGAAAAGUUAACUUGGACGUCGAAUUAGUAACAGAACUGACAUCUAUAGUCAUUUAGACGUCGGCUAUCUGGAGAAACCGACGCCCAGUUUCAUUUUAAAUACACCGCACACUCUUCGCGGCAUUCAGUUUCUGAUAUCUUCCUCUUCCUCUUCUCCUUUUUCUCUCGCGGCACUCUUCUUUUUCUCUCUUUCGGCAUGUCUUCUUUUUGUUACGGCAUUCUAUAGUUGUUUCUGAUAUCUUUAUCGUUUUCGUCCUCUCUUUUUCUCUCUUGCGACAUUGCAUCCCAGGUGCGUGGUUUUUUUUUUAUGCUUACCGUUUGUUUAGUCUUUCAUCGAUUAUCUUCUGGUUCAACUGAUUAAAAUUUGCUUUCUUUGUGUUGUGUUUUAGUGCAAUUUUGUUCCUUUCUUGGGAUAACGUAGUAACACAUUCUCCCUUUGCUAGCUGCCUCCCGGAAAUAGCGGCGUCUUUUGAAUUUCUCUUGAUUGUUUCAACCCAAAAACAACCCUAGGUCGUUGUCUAGUUUUCGUUUCACCGUGAUUUUUUCCUCUUGCGGAUGAAAAAUGGAACUAAGCAACCACCCAGGUUCGGUUUUGGGUUG
rnacentral:lncRNA from 1 species